rnacentral:rRNA from 1 species
CAAAGGCAUGGUCCCGACCUUACUAUCAGCUCUAGCCCAACUUACACAUGCAAGUCUCCGAGCCCCGUGAGUAAGCCCCUUAAUCCCCUGCCCGGGGACGAGGAGCAGGCAUCAGGCACGAAUUUUUAGCCCAAGACGCCAGGCCUAGCCACACCCCCAAGGGAAUUCAGCAGUGAUAAAUAUUGAGCCAUAAGUGAAAACUUGACUCAGUCAGAGCUAAGAGAGCCGGUAAAACUCGUGCCAGCCACCGCGGUUAAACGAGAGGCCCUAGUUGAUAGUACAACGGCGUAAAGGGUGGUUAAGGAUACUAAAACAAUAAAGUCGAAUGGCCCUUUGGCUGUCAUACGCUUCUAGGAGUCCGAAGCCCAACACACGAAAGUAACUUUAAAAAGCCCACCUGACCCCACGAAAACUGAGGAACAAACUGGGAUUAGAUACCCCACUAUGCUCAGUCAUAAACCCAGACGUCCAGCUACAAUUUGGCGUCCGCCGGGUACUACGAGCAUUAGCUUGAAACCCAAAGGACCUGACGGUGCCUCAGACCCCCCUAGAGGAGCCUGUUCUAGAACCGAUAACCCCCGUUAAACCUCACCGCUUCUAGCCAUCCCAGCCUAUAUACCGCCGUCGUCAGCUUACCCU